CCUACGGGUGGCAGCAGUGAGGAAUAUUGGUCAAUGGGCGCAAGCCUGAACCAGCCAAGUAGCGUGAAGGAUGACUGUCCUACGGUUUGUAAGCUUCUUUUAUAAAGGAAUAAAGUGAGGCACGAGUGCCUUUUUGUAUGUACUUUAUGUAUAAGGAUCGGCUAACUCCGUGCCAGCAGCCGCGGUAAUACGGAGGAUCCGAGCGUUAUCCGGGUUUAUUGGGUUUAAAGGGAGCGUAGAUGGGUUGUUAAGUCAGUUGUGAAAGUUUGGGGCUCAACCUCAAAAUUGCAAUUGAGACUGGCAGCCUUGAGUACAGUUGAGGUAAGCGGAAUUCGUGGUGUAGCGGUGAAAUGCUUAGAUAUCACGAAGAACACCGAUUGCGAAGGCAGCUUACUAAACUGCCACUGACACUGAUGCACGAAAGUGUGGGUAUCAAACAGGAUUAGAUACCCGAGUAGUC
rnacentral:rRNA from 1 species